GGUCUUUCUUUAUUAUUUUCAAUUUUUUGUUGGAAAAAGCUACAGCAAUAAUAGAAGUAUAAUGUCUAAAAUUAGUUUGAGUAUUUAAAGUAUAUAACUAUAAGUUCUGGAAUAAAUUUGGAAAUAAGGAAGUUUAUUACAGUGCACAAAAUGAGUUAAAUAAACAUUAUUAUUAGAAAACUAUCUCGUGGGAUUGCUGAUAAUUUAGAUGACCCAAAAUACAAGCAUUACAAAUAUUGGUCUAACCCCUUAGAAACAAGAUUACCACAUGCUCCAAAUAUGGAGAUUUACUCUAUGUAUGGGGUCGGGAUUCCAAUGUAAAGAGCCUAUGUUUAUAAGUCAACCUCCCAAUCGGAAUGCUACAUUUCGUUUCAGAUUGACACAUCAGCAAUUGGUGGAGAUGAGGACCCUUUUUUAAAGGAUGGAGUUUAUAGUGCCAAUGGGGAUGAAACCGAUCCUCUUUUAAGCGCUGGUUUCAUUUGUGCAAGAGGUUGGCGGGGAAAAACCCGCUUUAAUCCUUUAGGCAUCUAAACGUUCAUAAGGGAGUAUGAAGACGCUGCUCUGGCUAAUCUUCUCGAAGGAAGGGGAACCCAGAGUGGUGCUCAUGUUGAUAUAUUGGGGAACUUUGCACUUAUUGAAGAUAUUAUACGAGUAGCAGCAGGAGCCUCUGGUGAGGACUUAGGUGGACAUAGAGUUCACUCAGAUUUUCAAAGGGUCUCAAUAUUAACUCUCAGUGCAAUAAAUGUUCCGGCUGGCAGCUGUUCUUUUGUUAAAUUAUUUUUUACUUUUUGGAUUAUAAAUACUCAUUGUUACCUUAGUUUAACAUGAGUAUUACCCAUGAGGUUAUAAAGAACUGUUGUUAGGAAUUAAAUGAAAAUGUGCACUAAUCUUUGAUCAUUUUAGCAUUGGCAUUGUGACACCAAACCAAUCAUUUUUGUGUUGUGAGUUUUCUGAAAUGUUAUCUAUUCUAUA